AUGCCUAACUCGCUGCUCGACUCGCCGCCGCAGCUCCCUGCCGCCGGCCCUUGGGGCUCUCUGUUCGCCGUUCAGGAACCCGGGAAGCCUCGGCGUGUGUCGGUGGCGCUACCGUUCGCUCCCAGGAAGAUGCCGGCGUACCGGUACGGCAUGAAGCGGAACCUGGAGAUGUGCACCGAGGCGCUCGGGUGCGAGACCGGUGGCGUCGACCCAGCCGCUGACGACGCCGACGAGGGCGUGGAGCGGAAGAGGAAAUACAGAGAGGAGGAGACCAAGGUGGAGCCGACAGAGCGGAGGGCGCGCGUGCUGCCGCCGCCGCUGACGACGCUGGCGGCUGGCGCGACCCGCAUGCGCAUGGUCCACGAGCGACGCAGCGGGAGGCUGGAGGUGUACGCCGUGCGGGCCUCCGGAAUGGAGGCCGAGCGGAGCGGCGGGCGUCUUCGGCUCCGCCUCCUGCCCUGCGCCGGCUGCAAUGCCGCCGCCGUGUGCAGCAGCCAACAAGAAGCGCAAGAAGCAGAGGAAGAUGAGGCAGAGGAGGUCGAUCAGCAGCAGCGGCAGCAGGAGUGUGUGGUCCCAAAGUACGUGCGCCGCGAGCGGUGCCUGAAGGUGGAGAGUGGCGCCACGGCGGCGAGGUGCAGCAUCAAAUGGGAGCAGGAGCAGGCUGCCGCCUUCUGGGUGGCCACCACCUGA
rnacentral:rRNA from 1 species